UUUACUAAUUUAUAGAAGUUAUUAAUUUAUCGAGUAUUAAUUUAUAAAAAUUUUAUUGUAUAAUGU
rnacentral:sRNA from 1 species